rnacentral:rRNA from 1 species
GACGAACGCUGGCGGCGUGCUUAACACAUGCAAGUCGAACGGAAAGGCCCUGCUUUUGUGGGGUGCUCGAGUGGCGAACGGGUGAGUAACACGUGAGUAACCUGCCCUUGACUUUGGGAUAACUUCAGGAAACUGGGGCUAAUACCGGAUAGGAGCUCCUGCUGCAUGGUGGGGGUUGGAAAGUUUCGGCGGUUGGGGAUGGACUCGCGGCUUAUCAGCUUGUUGGUGGGGUAGUGGCUUACCAAGGCUUUGACGGGUAGCCGGCCUGACAGGGUGACCGGACACAUUGGGACUGAGAUACGGCCCAUACUCCUACGGGAGGCAGCAGUGGGGAAUAUUGCACAAUGGGCGGAAGCCUGAUGCAGCAACGCCGCGUGCGGGAUGACGGCCUUCGGGUUGUAAACCGCUUUCGCCUGUGACGAAGCGUGAGUGACGGUAAUGGGUAAAGAAGCAACGGCUAACUACGUG